GCUGGGCAUGGUGGUGUAUGCCUGUGGUCCCAGCUACUUGGAAAGCUGAGGUGGGAGGAUCACUUGAGCCCAGGAAUUUGAGGCUUGCCUGGACAACAUAGCAAGACUUUAUCUCUU
rnacentral:sRNA from 1 species